UUAGUUUACUCUACUUUUUGUUAUAUAGUGUAUCCAAAUGAUUUACUUUUUAAAGUUUUGCCUUAGAUCAUUGAGGAGAAGUAGCGCAUUUAGCAUCCUCAGUGUUGAAAUGCAAAGAUAUAGGUUUGAAAAACAGAUAAAAACAUACAACAACAAUAUACCCAGUGUAAUUCUACAGGUGGGGACUGGGGAGGGUAAACAGGCAAAAACAUAAAGAAAAUAAAGUUGGGUCACUAUCUGAUGGUGUCCGGUGUGUCUGAUGUAUGUCAUGUUAGAAUCUCACAUUGGUUAAUUGUAUGGGUUGUAAUGCCCUUGUAUUGUCUUAGACAAUGCUCACUACUUGAUCUACCUUUUGGGACUGAUUUAGGCUCAAAGUCCAUUUUUAUGGUACCAAAGACAGACCCGUCCUCGAAGUUUGGUCCAUGCGUUGCGAACUUAGUAUUAUGGUAAUAUUUGUUUUGCGGGGGACAAAGAAAAUAUAUCUAGUUCACAAUUGAAGAUGGAAUAUUCUCUAGCUUAAUAAAGAAAGUUCAAAAUUAGAACGAAGUUCGUUAGUGAUUGCCUUAUGAUUCAGAUUGCCAUGAUUUAGAAAAUGUGGGAAUGCUAAUAUGUGUGUGUAUCCUUUCAUUAAUUAACAUUUAGUCUUACUAUUAGAGAGGAUAAUCAAAUAUGGGGGACUUGUGCAUACCGAGGCUAACUAUUUUUAAUGGAAAGAAAAUAUAAUCACAAGACUCCCAAGACUCCCUAAAUGAAUAAGCAAGUUGGCUCAGAGUUUGGUGCAAUGACCUUGUCUUUUAGAAGUGUAUACAGUAUUUAAGUUUUACUCAAUUUGAGUAAGUCCAUAAGAUAUCGUUCAAAGGAUCAUUUUCAAAAUGUUUGUAUGUGAAGUCUUAUUAGUAUUCAUUUGACUGAAAGAGGUGAAUCAAGGUCCAUUUGGAUGUUACUAUAGAAAUAGAUCACACAAGAUUUUCUUUAAUGAUGCAUAAUGUGGGGAGCAAAUCUUAGCAACUCACCAUUUAAAAGAAGUAAAUGCAUUGUAGUUAAUGAGUAUUACAUGUUCCAAAGUGACGGAGAGGAUGUGGAUCAUCUUCCCCUGCAUAGCAUUUUUCUUCAGAAUUAUGGGUCGUGAUGUUCUCCAAUUAAUAUAUGGUAUAUGUAAAGAAAUAAAUGAGACAGUGUUUAGAAAUUUUCUGAUGAUUUCUCUGUAUUCACUGUUUGUGUAUAAAAUACAAGUAUAAUGCAGAAAGAAAAGUGUCAAAGAAAAUAAUUAUGUACGCCUGUCUAUUUCCUUCUUGUACCGCUUUGUAACAAUAUAACAAACUUAGGAUUCUAAUUUUGGCAUCUAUGGUAGAAACUGCUCGUAUAUACAGCUGUACUUGUUUACUUUGAACGAUCAGGAUUGAAUCCAUCAAUCUCCUUCCGUGUGCUCCUGAUUUCUCCACGUGGCUUGGUCUUCGUAGUCAUUUUAUCACAUUUGGAUUGAGACAAAAUCCUAGGUUUCUCCGACCAAGCCUCCUUCAUAUCUUCAGCUCUGAGUUUUUCCUCUUGUUCUCUCCAUUGUUGCUCUGUAAAACUUCAUAAAAUGAGAGAUUUGAGUGAGGAUUCCCAAUAAUAUGCAACCGGAAGUUUUAAAGGAUCCUUCUUACUUCCAUAAAUGGAGAAUGAGGAUUAAAAAGCAAUAAGCAUUUUACCAUGUUUGGUGUCCUGCAUUUUUGCUAGUUUCGAAACUUAACACCUCGACAGAUAAACUUAUAAGAUAAGAUGUGCUCAACCCGUAAAGCUAUUGCUUUGUCGAUAAAAACAAUGAAGCGAUACUAACGAGGGGUUACUGCUUCAUGGUGAAGCCAUGGGUUUUAGAGAAGUGUGUGCUUCAAACAAUGAGAAGCGCCACUUGCCUUUUCAUCUGUUACAAUUCUGCCACUUGCCUCAGCAUUUCUUCCAGGAACUACUAUAGGUAGCACAUCAAAAGGCUGCAGAGCGAGGGAACACAUUGAUCAAAGCCCAAAGGCUCAAAACCUUUUCGUGGUGGCUUAUUCUGGUGAACACAAACAUCCUCCACCCACUAACCGAAGCUGUCUAUCUGGGCGGAGGAUGGUUAUGUUCACCGAGAUAGGCCACCAAGCCGAAGCUGUCUGUCUGGGCGCUGCACCUGCCGUGCCAAAUCCAAGAUUCCAAAAGGAAAAAUAUUGUGUCCAGAGCAUUAAGCUUUAAUUCUUCGCAUCCAAUUGCUUUCGAUGUUCCAGUGCUACUCCAAUUAGCCCCAAAACGCCUGAAAUCCAGAGCGUGUCACCUAACAAGAAAAUAGAAAUGGUAGCUGAGGAGGAGAAAGUUGUUCUGAUUCCGAACAAAUUCAUGAGUGAUGAUAUUCUCAAGAGUGUACUUUUCUUUGUGUUAAAUGCAGUGAGUGAUUUUAUUGGAAUUAAAUUGAUCUGGAAAUUUUUCAUAACUGAAAAAUUUAUGGUCCGCGACAUUAACUGAUUUUGAGUUUGAUUUUAUGAUACGUGCCUUCUUCCUCUCAGGAAUCCUGUUGCCGUUUAACUGUAUCCAAACAAUCAUUUGAGGGUUGGAAUUUGGCAUGAAAAAUCUUGCUUUGUGUUCUAGAAGUUGGGAUAUGUGUGUUUAAAUUACUGUUUUAUUUUGAUGUUUCCAGAAGGGUGGGCGAUCAUGGCGAGCUUUAUAGACAUUUUAAUUGGUGCAACACAUUUGGUACUUUACAGAUCCACACAUCACUUUAAUAAAGUUACGUCAGAUUUGGACCCAGAUACCAAAUUCUUAAUGAACUUUGUCGUACGAAAGUUGUGUUGAUUAUUUCAUCUAUAUUUGGCAAACCAUAUUCAUCGGGUUUUCUCUGUGUUUUGCUAUGUGGUUUUGUUCAUCAGAUGGGCGCAACAGUGUACCAGAGCAUACAUGAAAUCUGCUGCAGGGUUUAGCAUAUCCAGCUUCGCAAGGGUGGGGAUUCGUCACAGGAUGUGGGGAACUGCCAACAAGUUGGCACAGCGGCUUCAGAGCAUAUCAGACCGUGAAGAAUUCAGAGGCAGCGGUUUUGAGGCAUGCGAUGAUGGCACAAAUCACUUCAAAAAUAUCAUCUGAUGAAGGUGCAGGUACUUUGGAGCGAGUCUCUGGUGAAGAAGAUAAACAUGAAACGAUAUCCAAGGUCAGAGAGGAGGUGGUGGCCUCAACUGGAGAUGGGUGGUUAAUCGGCAGAAGCGGGGCUGUAGUUUGCAGGCAUAUCUUCAAAAAUUGUAUUUGAUUUCCUCCGCGAUCAUAACAGUAGGCGCAAGUGGGACAUUCUCUCCAAUGGGGGUGAUAUUCAUGAAGUUGCGCAUAUUGCUAGUGGCAGGGAAACAAGCAACCGUGUCUCCUUAUUGAGAGUCAACGUAAGGACAUUUAUGUCUUCAAUUUUACAUUCUUUCCUCAUAUUUUGAUUUAUGACACUUAAUGUUUUAUUAAUGUGUCGAAGAAAUAACGUGUGAAUUCCAAGAAUUGUUUCAUGAAUUGCAGAGUCUAAACUCAGCUCAAAGCGAGAUGUUGAUGUUUAGAGAAAGUAGCACUGAUCCAACAGGGUCCUUAGUUGUUAAUGCACCUAUUGAUGUUCCUGCUAUAAACAUUGUAUUUAUUGGUGGAAAUCCAGACUAUGUCCCGCUUUUGCCUUCUGAGUUAGCUGUUUAGUUUUAUAAACUAGGUUUCACGAACUCCACGAGGAUCAUUAAUCUCAUCAUGGUUUCAAAUGGACAAACAUUUCUCGUGUUUUUAAUUUGUGAAGUUAUGAUUUCAUAUAUAGACGCCAAGACCCCAUGCAAUAAACCUUCCAAAACAAGAUUGAGAUUCUACUGAUUCAGAACUGAGAACUGCUACACGGGUAUUAUGGCACAAAGCACUACAAAAUAUCAUCUGAUGAAGGUACUUGGAGCGAGUCUGUGGUGAAGAAGAUAAAUCUGAGAAUAUCAAUAUCCAGGGUCAGAGAGGAGCAAUUACAUCAACUGGAAAUGGGUGGCUAUCUAUUUGCAGGAUCAUGCUAUUUUUCUCUGUAUAAUUCCAAUUCUAGUCCGAAGGGACGGGAAUAGAACCUAACUGAUGUAUUAGAUCAUUUGACAAGCAGCACAAAGAUCAGAUCGUUCACUGCUCUCUGACUGUAAUAACAUUUCCAUGUGUAGACUGUAUCUUAUGUUGAUAUAUCAACAUUGUGAUAUGAAAAUUAAACGCUGGAAUUGUUAAUA